UAACUGAAAACCGCCUCAUAUUCCCCCGGGCCCAUGGGCAGCUUCAGAGGACUGAGCCGUGUGCUCGGUGGCGCUGGGACUGUUGUGAGGAUCAAACGAGAUAAUGUAUGCGAAGGCAUGCUGUGAAUUCUGCGUGCCCAGGGCAGGAGAAUGGAGGCCCCAGAGUGGGUCUAAUGACACUCUCUUGAUGAAGAUCUUGGCUGUGACUUCUGUGGGAAAUGAGCCAUGGACCAACCAACAAUGAACGCACUAGAGCUGAUCAGCCAUCCUUAACUGAUGAAGGGCUUACCUCUGUGGGUAAGGAGCAUGGAGG